rnacentral:rRNA from 1 species
AUUGAACGCUGGCGGCAGGCCUAACACAUGCAAGUCGAGCGGAUGAACGGAGCUUGCUCCUGGAUUCAGCGGCGGACGGGUGAGUAAUGCCUAGGAAUCUGCCUGGUAGUGGGGGAUAACGUCCGGAAGCGGGCGCUAAUACCGCAUACGUCCUGAGGGAGAAACAUGGUGAUCUUCGGACCUUUCUCUCUCAGAUGAGCCUAGGUCGGAUUAGCUAGUUGGUGGGGUAAAGGCCUACCAAGGCGACGAUCCGUAACUGGUCUGAGAGAAUGAUCAGUCACACUGGAACUGAGACACGGUCCAGACUCCUGCGAGAGGCAGCAGUGGGGAAUGUUAGACAAUGGGCGAAAGCAUGAUACAGCCAUGCCGCGUGUGUGAAAAAAAUCUUCCGAUUGUAAAGCACUUUAAGUUGGGAGGAAGGGCAGUAAGUUAAUACCAAGCUGUAUUGACGUUACCAACAGAAUAAGCACCGGCUAACUUCGUG